AAACUUUCAACAACGGAUCUCUUGGUUCUCGCAUCGAUGAAGAACGCAGCGAAACGCGAUAUGUAAUGUGAAUUGCAGAAUGUGAAUCAUCGAAUCUUUGAACGCACAUUGCGCCCUCUGGUAUUCCAGAGGGCAUACCUGUUUGAGCGUCAGU
rnacentral:rRNA from 3 species